rnacentral:rRNA from 1 species
UACGUAGGGUGCAAGCGUUUGUCCGGAAUUAUUGGGCGUAAAGAGCUCGUAGGCGGUCUGUCGCGUCGGCUGUGAAAACUCCGGGGCUUAACCCCGAGCCUGCAGUGGAUACGGGCAGACUAGAGGUAGGUAGGGGAGAAUGAAAUUCCCGGUGUAGCGGUGAAAUGCGCAGAUAUCGGGAAGGAACACCGGUGGCGAAGGCG